rnacentral:tRNA from 1 species
GGGUCAUUAGCUUAGUUGGUAGAGCAUCUGACUCUUAAUCAGAGGGUCGUAGGUUCGAGUCCUACAUGGCCCAUCA